rnacentral:rRNA from 1 species
GACGAACGCUGACGGCGUGCUUAACACAUGCAAGUCGAAGGGAGUGGCGAACGGGUGAGUAACACGUGAGUAACAUGCCCUUUUCUUUGGGAUAAGCCUGGGAAACUGGGGCUAAUACUGGAUGGAUUGGGAUGGGCUCGCGGCUUAUCAGCUUGGUGGUGGGGUGAUGGCGUACCAAGGCUUUGACGGGUAGACGGCCUGAUAGGGUGGUCGGUCGCACUGGGACUGGGAUACGGCCCAGACUCCUACGGGAUGCAGCAGUGUGGGAUAUUGCACAAGGGACGAAAGUCUGAUGCAGCGACGUCGUGUGGGGGAUGAAGGCCUUCGGGUUGUAAACUCCUUUCGCCCGCGGAAUGGUAGUUGGUAAUGAAGCGCCGGCUAACUGCGUGCCAGCAGCCGCGGUAAUAC